GUGGCAGCCGCCGCGGUAAUACGGAGGGUGCAAGCGUUAUCCGGAUUCAUUGGGUUUAAAGGGUGCGCAGGCGGAUACUUAAGCCAGUGGUGAAAUCCCGGGGCUCAACCCCGGAACUGCCAUUGAUACUGAAUAUCUGGAAUACGGUUGAAGUGGGCGGAAUGUAGCAUGUAGCGGUGAAAUGCAUAGAGAUGCUACAGAACACCGAUCGCGAAGGCAGCUCACUAAGCCGAUAUUGACGCUCAGGCACGAAAGCGUGGGGAGCGAACAGGAUUAGAUACCCUGGUAGUCCACGCCGUAAACGAUGAUAACUCGUUGUUGGCGACACACAGUCAGCGACUAAGCGAAAGCGAUAAGUUAUCCACCUGGGGAGUACGAUCGCAAGGUUGAAACUCAAAGGAAUAGGCGG
rnacentral:rRNA from 1 species